AUAGCGAGUGACAAGAAUAUCCACUUGUUGUUUUUCUUUGUUUAUUUAGACCACACUUACACACGGAAGAUUAUGUGCUUUUCAAAGUGUCAGUAAAUGCAUCUCGCGGCCGUCUCGUGAGAAUAAGGAAGUGCCAUUCCGAGGAGGACGAGAGGGCUGUUUUGUGAGUUGGAGAAACACAUAUGGUGUUGGAAUUCCACCGCUGUUGAUGUGUUCGGGUCAGAAUAAAGUUAAAAGAGCGUCAGACAUUAUUAGACUCUGUGGGGACCCCACGCUACGGUUCAGUCUACCGUCGUAACAGAGGCAUGGCUUGACACGAUGCGCAUGCGUUAUUUACGCUGAAAAUGUUAACGUAAUUAAUGAAACAAAUUAGUUACCGCAAUUAACACGAUAUUUUUUGAUACGCGUGAGUAUAUAUUUAUAUAAGAAUACUUAAUUCUCAACAGUUUUAUUUCAUAGCUGGCUAGCUUGCCCAUUAGGCAAUAUGCUAGUCAAUAUAUAUAUGCUAGUAUGCUAGGGGGCGCCCUGUGGUUAUAGCAGUACAUACUGUAAAUACGUGUAUGCAUAUAGCUUAUUAUUUAGCUUUGUGGUGUAUAAUCCUAAAAACACUCGCCAUCACUGUCCUAAUACUUCAAUGAAAUAUCAUAAAUGCUGUACAUAUCCAACAGUACCUUUCUUCGUCUUGACUGAACCCCUCCAUAAUGUUUCUCCAUGUCAACAGAGUCUGUAAUGUAAUGACUUCAUUAGCACAAAUAUGACUACAAGAAAAACUGUCCACUUACUUCUUCUGAAUAGGCUUCAUCCGUGUCACAGAUUAAAAAUCCAGCCACUCCCUCCCCCAACCAGAAGCGAAGUACAUGCUGUGGGAAUAUACGGUCAAUUUUAGGGCAUAAAUGUAGGCACAAGACAUUCUCAUCGAGUGGGCAUGUUUGACCUGCUUGACGUCAUCCUGAGGCUCAAAAAGCUGCACGCCACACACGUCCAGCACUACUUUGAGGCCUGCGAGAUGACAAGGUGCUGGAUUUGGGGCAGCGUUCCAGACCGUUGCCCGCUCCCGGUGGCGUUUACCGAGGAUGCAGACUGUUCAAACAAUCCCUUCAGGAUGAGAGUACUGAUGCCCAAAGACUUGAGAUGUAACUCUGCUGCUUAAAUGCCACCUACCCAAAACCACAGAUCCUGUGUGAAACACUGAUAGUUAUCAGGUAUUGCUGCAUAUCAUGCCUUAAGUCUCCACUUUGUCUUAAAAAAUCUCUCACGGAUGUCUUAAAUGAGUGUGCACUUUUGUUUUGACGGGUGUCACGCAACCCCUUCCUUUGUGAAGGGGACAUACAGACAGGUAUUCCCGCAGCAGCUCAGAUGAGAAAUGUUUCCACUGCGGUGAACGCAUUCACAGCACAUACAGCGUCUAUGUCUCUGACCUCAUUCUUACAGGAAGAAGGUAUAUAGGAGAAGAACACAAUAUGGGAAACAGCUCUUACUGCUGUUCAACACCACUGCAAACUACCACAAUGGUUAAUAUAACAACAAAUAAUAAACAUUUUAAAUUAGUCUUUAAGACGUUUACUGACAAAUACAGCACAAAAAAAUACAUUCUAUAUGAAUUAAAUGUCUCUUAUCAACCUUCGAAAAUGGUACAUACAGUACAUAGCUGUUUAGUUGUCAUACCACACUGUGACCACCAGGGGGCAAACAACAAACGAACGAACACAUACACCCAAAGAAGAAGUAAUUCAUCCACAAGCUAGCACUUAAAAAAAUAGUUGUUCGUGGCAAAUGUGGAGUUAAAUCAAAAUGUUUAAAAAAUUUUUAACUUUCUCACCGUCGAUAGCCCCUGACUCCACAGGUCGGGGCCCCGUUUGAAGUUGAAAAAACAGCGACUUCUGCCACCAGCCCAGCCGGGCAGGCACCGGCCGUGGGCUGGUCACGAUGAUGGCCACGGCGAUAGCUAGCAUCGCCAACCAGGCCAGCCAGAAGAGAACCACCAGGUAGCAGCGCACCCUCCUCCAGCCGGGUCCCCCAGCAGACAACUCCAGGUCCUCCUUGCUCAUGGGCCGCCACUGCUGUUCCGGUUCGAGGUCCGACACGAGCAGAGACGCCGUCUCUGAACCGGUUACGCUGGCCGAGAGUCCCGGGGCGGCAACGCUGCCGUAGCCGGUGCCUCCGGCGUUCAGGGGCAUGGUGGUGGGCUGCAGGUGAGAGGGACACACCCAGGUGCUUUAAUGAGGGCCCGUUCAACCGCUCUUAAUUGUCUUCAUUAUUAACGUCAACACAGAAUUCCAUGAAGGUACAUCACGUGUUUACACUUCAAUCCCACAUAACCGAAAAGGACAUUUUGUUCUUCUAACUUCUUUAAUGUGACAAAAUUUUGAAAAAUGUUACUCUACUGUAUAUGACAGGGGUUUUCAAACUCCGGCUGGUGUAGCAGCUCGAGAAAAAUAAAGAUCAACCAAUUGCAACAUGUAUUUAUGUACUCUAAUAUGUGACAAAGACUAUAAGGAUUCAAUGUAUACUUCAUUCAAUAAGAUAGCAUUUAUGUUUUCAUCACUUCAUUGGCUCAGACCUGAGAAAAAUCAAGGAAAAAUGCCAUUAGAAUUUUUGUAGGUCUGCCUUAAUAUCCUUAUGAGAGCCACCCAAUGCAUGUAAAUAGUCAUUCCGGAUGGAAGCAAAGUCAUAACAAGUAUAAGAUGAACUGUAUCGUAAAAUAUGCCGCAUCAUUGUACUCACAUUGUCUCCUCUG